rnacentral:rRNA from 1 species
UACGUAGGGUGCGAGCGUUGUCCGGAAUUAUUGGGCGUAAAGAGCUCGUAGGCGGUUUGUCACGUCGGAUGUGAAACCCCGGGGCUUAACUCCGGGCCUGCAUUCGAUACGGGCUGACUAGAGUUCGGCAGGGGAGACUGGAAUUCCUGGUGUAGCGGUGAAAUGCGCAGAUAUCAGGAGGAACACCGGUGGCGAAGGCGGGUCUCUGGGCCGAUACUGACGCUGAGGAGCGAAAGCCAGGGGAGCAAACGGG